GCCUUCGUGGCCAAGUGGUAAGGCGUCGGUCUCGUAAACCGAAGAUCCAGGGUUCAAGUCCCUGCGGAGGCA
rfam:Biomphalaria glabrata isolate BB02 unplaced genomic scaffold LGTN_random_Scaffold2846, whole genome shotgun sequence.